AACAUUUUUCAAUUCCCAUGAAUUUAAUGCAAGAACUUAAUUCAUGUGUAUUUAAAAUUCAUGAGAUUUUUUACUUCCUAUGGUGAACCAAACAAGUCCCUAAUGUUAGGGAUAGAACCUCAUUCUCUCUUUUCAUUUCUCCUCGUUCUCUCUCCUCUCACCAGCCAGCUAUUGUCGCCGAAGCUGCUGUCCUUCUCUUUCAUUUAAGACGAAUUCAUGAGGUAUGUUCUCACUUUUGUAUUGAAUUUGUUGUUCAAAAUUAGGGUAUAAGAUUCGACCUUUUGGGGUUUUAUUGGUUCUUUUUUUUUGGUUUGGGGAUUUAAUUGUUCGGAUUUUAUUUUCGAUCGAUGUGGGUUUAGGGCUUGAUUUUUCCAGGAUUGGAUCUCGAAUUUGUGCUUAGUUUUGGGUGAUUUAUGGGGUCUGAUAUGGGUGAUUUUUGUGCUCGAUUUGUUGUGGGUUUCUGUGUUCGAAUUUUCUAGGAUUUUUGUGGUUGAUUUGUUGUUGAUUUUAAGGUUAAUUUUUUCACUUAUUAUUGCUCAACAUUUGUUUGAAAUUUGUUCUGAUUUAUGUGCUCGACUUUUUGUGGAUUUUUAGUCUUAUUUUGUUGCAUUUUUUGUUGAAUUUUGUGAUGGAUUUUGGUCGAUUAUUUGUGCUUUAAUUUUAGGCAUUUUUUUGUGGUUAAUUUUAUAUCCAUUGUAGGUCUGAUUUCUAUUUUUUUGUCUAAAUUUACACUACUACAAAAUAUGGUUAUUUCACUAUCUUUUCCCCUUUUUAAAUUCGAUGUAAAUGCAAUAUCUUGGCAUUUGUGUUUAUAAAUCCAUAAGUUUGAAUUUUUUCGGGGUUGGAUAAGACCUUGACUAGUUAAGAAAGUGUCAGUAUUGUGAAAACGAAAAAACGAAAACAAGCAAAUGGCAAUAAGAGCAAAAACAGUUGCUUUAAGAGUUGGAACAGCCAUGUUAGUUGGCAAUUGUAAGGGGCUCUAUUACCUUCCCCAGUUACCUUAUACAGAAGCGAGGCAAAUGCAAUUCCUCUGUUAUGCGUUCUUUUCUUGAUACUCCUAAUGUGGAUCAUUUGGCGGAAGCUGCUCGUAUCUCCCUUAAGCUGCAGGAGGUAAAAAAAAAUUAUGAUGAUUCUGGCACAAUCUUUUGUUUUCUACAGUUCUACCAUUUUUAAUGGCUCAAGUUGGUUUUUGUUUAGCUGUUGUUUGUCGUAUAUUUGUUGUAGGUUCAGAAUUUUGGUCCUAAGAUUCAAUUAGUCAUUGAGUGGUAAGGAGCUGAAGCUAUGUUUGCUGAUUUAGGCCACUGCGUUCUCUGUAGAAUCCUUCCAGACAGGUUUUCUCUCUGAGUUGCAUGAAACAAUUUGGUCGCUACACUGGUUAAGUAGCAGUCUGAAAUUGAAUCAGUAUGCUUAGAAGUGUUAUUAAGUGAAAGACUAGCUGUGUAUACAGAAUUAUAAAGUUCAGGUUUACAGUCAACCAGUGUUUGCAUUUGUGGAAACAUGGCUCAAAUUAGCUACAUGAUAUUUUAGAUUUUCGAAGCUGUAAAUAAUGAGUUUUGUGCUGUAGAUUGUAAGUUUAAGAUAUGUAACCUAGCACAUUUAAGGCUAUUCCAUGUGAUGUAUUUGUACAUUUUUUAUGAAUGAAAUAAUAAUUUUUGGUA